UACGAAGGGGGCUAGCGUUGUUCGGAUUUACUGGGCGUAAAGCGCACGUAGGCGGAUCGUUAAGUCGGGGGUGAAAUCCUGGAGCUCAACUCCAGAACUGCCUUCGAUACUGGCGAUCUCGAGUCCGGAAGAGGUGAGUGGAACUCCUAGUGUAGAGGUGGAAUUCGUAGAUAUUAGGAAGAACACCAGUGGCGAAGGCGACUCACUGGUCCGGUACUGACGCUGAGGCGCGAAAGCCAGGGGAGCAAACGGG
rnacentral:rRNA from 1 species